UACAGAGGCAAUGAAAAUUAGUAGUUUCCACAUAAGCUGAUCAAAUGAAAUAAUUCGUCAACGUUCUGAGAUACAAGUUUGUCCACCAAAGAAACAAAACAUUGCUAGUCAGCAAACCAAGCUGCAGCACCUGUGGUUGUUCAAGCAAAAUCAGGUACCCGUGAAACCAGCCACAGAGACAAAGCAGAUGCCCAAACCGCUGAAGGUAGAAACACGCUUACUCAUAAUCUAGAGGCAUUUUGUGGUCAUUUAGUGUUCAUCCUUCCAUGGCAAGGUCCAAAGCAACGAAGGUACUUGCAACUUGAUAUUUGGAAGCUCGCCAUGUAUCUGGCUCCUUUUUUUGCGAUCGCAAAAAAAUCAAUCUCUAGGAGAGUAUUAACACAUAUCACUGAUAAUGAACAUAACUCUGCAAAGAAAAAGGAAAAAAUGAGAAGGAGAUUAAUAAACGUAGCUGUACAUAUGCUACAUAAAUUUCCAUCUAAUAUUCUCACCUUGGUCCCGGUCUGCAGUAUGUCGUCUUGCCCAUCCAGCCUGAACUGAUAGAGAAAGUUCCAUGUGGCACUUUAUUUGUGAGGAUAUAACAUGAGUCAACAACAAAUUUAUCAUUGUUAUUCAUGGCAAGAUAAUAGAUCAUUCAUAAAUAUAUAUUUUGUUGGAUGUUGAUUACUGGAAAGUAAUACCAAUAUGGGCUUACAAAUUUGGGCAUGCUUCUUUUCACCGACGACACCUAUUAGCAGAGGUAAAUCAUAAUAUUAUAGACAUAUGUUACUAAUAGAAAAUACUACUUUUCCUUUUAUAUUACUUAAAUUAGAACAAUCAAUUUCUUCCAUGUCCCGAAACUUCUCAUUGAGCCUCUCCAUUUAACUCAGCAAUUUUGGGUUAUGGUAAAAUCAUGGGUUUUCAACAAAAUAAAAACAAACAAGACCAAUAAGAAAGAAAACUUAAGAAUUCAAGCCUAUCAGACAAUCAUGCACCUCCGGUGGCAUGUCGACAAUCAGACAUACCAAAACCUUUAGUCCUAAUUUUUCCCCAAUACAAUGUGCGAAACAACAAAUAAUAACCUUGUGUGUGUGUGAAACAACAAAUAAUAACCUUCAUGCCAGCAAUGCAUAUUAAUAUUAGAAGAUCAAAAUGUGUUUCACUGUGUAACAUUUCCAUUGCAUGUACAUAACAUGCUAUGCAUCAAAUCCCCCUGCACAAGAUUCCUCUAUCAUGGCCACACUCGUAUCCAGUGGUGGUGGAGUAGCCUAGGACGUGAAGCAGGGAAAGGGGCACAACAUACCGGUGCGGCCGGCGACGGCGGAGACACAACGGACUGCUCGGCCUCCUCGUCCCCACAAUGCUUUAACUAUCUUGGAUAUCUUUCAAAAAGAAUGCCAAUGAGGGCGUCAGUUGCUACAAAUUCAUGACUUCAAAGAAACACAAAUAACCCAUUAGAUGGUUCAGUACAAAUCAUUUCUUCACUUGCAGUACCAUGUAAAACAUUGAAUAGGUAUGCAUCACUCAUCAUUUCAAAAAGACUUCGAACAAAAACAUUCAACACCUCUGACUCCACAAAGACUUAAGAAAUUAGGGUGCCUAAAUCUUUAUGCAGAACUGGGUACAUCUUACUUAUUAGUUAGCCAACCACCGUAUCCAAGUGGCCCAAUUACGUGAAUACAAUCAGUAUCAAUCAUAAGUAUGAAACAUGAAACUUUCUGAAAUGAUCAGUACUUAUUAGGUCUCAAACUAUACAUAUAGAAACUUGAGACUGCAGACAUGAACGGUCGACUCUGAAACUCCACUCAAAUCACCACAUUAUCUAAGCAUGCUCAGUUAGCAACAGUAAAACAAAUUACAGAAUCUGAAACCUCACACAUUAUUUAGAGAGUACCUUAUUUUCUGUUCUUGCUACACUGGAAUCAAUGUACACUCUGAAUGAAAAAUAACAAACACUUGAUUGAUAUGGUCAUCAUAUAUGAAAUAAGACAGUAUGUGACAAACUAUAUAAAGCCGUAGAUUUUGAUGUACUACUAAUAUUUGGUCAUCCAAACUCAUAUAAUAGUUCCUCACCUGCAAAUCCUCCAGUAGUUGUGCUGACAUAUGAAACAUCUUCUUGAUCUCCCUAAGCUGAAUUCUAUGAUAGCACAGAGCUGAACUCGAAAAAUAAAAUCACACCGUAGGACAUCUACAGGCUAUUUUUACAUGAAAUGAGACUCGAAAACACAUACAAAGGAAAAGGGGACACCUGUUUAAAUAAGCCAUUGAAAGCAGGCUACACAGAGCUCGACAUAUCGCCUUGCGAACCUAGCUCAAUAUCAGCAUUUCUUCGGGCCCAAUCCUCUUUGCUGGUCUCAAAUUAGUCAUGUUAAAUUUCACAAAAUAAAUGUCCUUGCAAGAUUCACAAUUCAAAUCCUUUGUGCAUUCUAACCAAGAAGAUGGAAUUCAAUCUUCGGUGAGGAUUGAAUCCUAGUGUCAUAAGUAAUACAUAUAUAAACAUCAGUAGCAUCAGAGAUUGCUCACAAGGGCAACGCUGCACACCAUGCUAUUUCCGUACUCAAGGAUCACAAAAUAACAUCAUAUAAAGAAUACAGAGGAAACCACAUACAGAGAGCAAAUCAUCAUCUAGUCGACAUAGAAAUUAGUCUGCUACUUCUCUUUGCCAGCUCAACAUUACCAAUGUUCUUCUGUGCCAUCAGCAGAAAAAAGAACAAAGAGAGAUGAAAUUCAGUUUGCAUCCAAAGCUCUCUUCAUUCCCCACGGCCGGAGGUCUCCCCGUCCCCAAAACAUGCCUCCGCCAGCAGAGCACCCAUGCUUGCCGUUCCUCACUGUCCCCUUGCCGUUCCACCGGAGUUCCCCACCAGUCCACCGUCACGGGCUCACAGCGACCCCGGCGGGGCAGAGAGAGGGAGGGAGGAAGGGAGAGAGGGAAGACAUGUACCUAGACAGCACCGGUG
rnacentral:lncRNA from 1 species